GACGAACGCUGGCGGCGUGCCUAAUACAUGCAAGUCGAACGCAGUGGGGACGGGUGAGUAACACGUGGGUAACCUCCCAUCAGAGGGGAUAACACUUGGAAACAGGUGCUAAACCGACAUUGAUGGAUGGACCCGAGGUGCAUUAGCUAGUUGGUGGGGUAACGGCGCACCAAGGCCACGAUGCAUAGCCGGCAUGAGAGGGGGAUCGGCCACACUGGGACGGGGAAACGGCCCAGACUCCUCCGGGAGGGAGCAGUAGGGAAUCUGCGGCAAUGGGCGAAAGUCUGACAGAGCCACGCCGCGUGAGUGAAGAAGGUUUUCGGAUCGUAAAACUCUGUUGUUAGGGAAGCGGUAUCUAACCAGAAAGCCACGGCUAACUACGUGCCAGCAGCCGCGGUAAUAC
rnacentral:rRNA from 1 species